GAGAUGCAAACAAAAUUGCUCUUACAGAGGUGAGAGAAGACAGAGGUACCCGAGUGCAGUUGUACAUACAUGGAUCAUUAUGAAACUUCCUAAUUUUGAUAGCGGAGUUUCACCUCUUGUUGCCCAGGCUAGAGUGCAAUGGCACCAUCUCAGCCCGCCUCCCGGGUUCAAGCCAUUCUCCUGCCUCAGCCUCCCGAGUAGCUGGGAUUACAGGCAACCACCACCACGCCCGGCUAAUUUUUGUAUUUUUAGUAGAGACGGGGUUUUGCCAUGUUGGCCAGGCUGGUUUCCAACUCCUGACCUCAGGUGAUCCACCCACCUCAGCC
rnacentral:lncRNA from 1 species